GUCCAGGGAUGGGAAUCGAACCCACAGUGUUCCGCUUACCGGGCAUAUACCAUGUCCACUAGGCUACCCUGGU
rnacentral:tRNA from 1 species